AGCAGUCGCCGCGGGAAUACGAAGGGUGCAAGCGUUACUCGGAAUUACUGGGCGUAAAGCGUGCGUAGGUGGUGGUUUAAGUCCGUUGUGAAAGCCCUGGGCUCAACCUGGGAAUUGCAGUGGAUACUGGGUCACUAGAGUGUGGUAGAGGAUAGUGGAAUUUCCGGUGUAGCGGUGAAAUGCGUAGAGAUCGGGAGGAACAUCAGUGGCGAAGGCGGCCAUCUGGGACAACACUGACGCUGAGGCACGAAAGCGUGGGGAGCAAACAGGAUUAGAUACCCCGGUAGUCCCUGUCUCUUAUAA
rnacentral:rRNA from 1 species